rnacentral:tRNA from 2 species
GCGGGCGUGGCGGAACUGGUAGACGCGCUGGUUUUAGGUACCAGUGGCUUAUGCCGUGGGGGUUCGAGUCCCUCCGCCCGCACCA